GACGAACGCUGGCGGCGUGCUUAACACAUGCAAGUCGAACGAAGUGGCGAACGGGUGAGUAACGCGUAAGAAACCUGCCCUUCAGGGGGGGACAACAGUUGGAAACGACUGCUAAUACCGCAUACUGAAGGGGGGGAUUGCGUCUGAUUAGCUAGUGUGGGGGGUAACGGCCUACCAAGGGGAUGAUCCGGAGCCGGUCUGGGGGGAUGAACGGCCACAUUGGGACGUAGACAAGGCCCAGACUCCUACGGGAGGCAGCAGUGGGGAAUCUUUCGCAAUGGACGAAAGUCUGACGGAGCAACGCCGCGUGAGUUAUGACGGCCUUCGGGUUGUAAAGCUCUGUUAAUCGGGACGCGGUACCGGAAGAGAAAGCCACGGCUAACUACGUGCCAGCAGCCGCGGUAAUAC
rnacentral:rRNA from 1 species